UGAGUAGGGGAUCAAGCUUUACAUUAAGAGCCUUCCCUGGAAAUGUGGGCUAAAGGAUGCAGAGGUUGAAAAUGGAAAAAGCUUCUUUAUUUGCCUUAGUUUGCUGAUGAUCCAGACAGAUGUUUGCCUAGAUGGUCCUGACUUCCCAGUUGGUCUUCUCCACCUGCAUCUGGGUUGCAUUGACACCAAAUAUUUCUGCUGAUGCUGAAAUCUUGAAGCCCCACCGGAAGUGUUCCUCUUCAUUGAAACAAACCUGAUGUCUGCCUUCAACGUCCCCAUUUCCAUCAAUG